GUGCUCAUUUUGGCAACACAUAUACUAAAAUUGGAACGACACAGAGAAGAUUAGCAUGGCCCCUGUAUAAGGAUGACACGAAAAUUCGUGAAGUGUUGCGUAUUUUU